GUAGGGAAUAUUGGGCAAUGGUCGGAAGACUGACCCAGCCAUGCCGCGUGCAGGAAGACGGCCCUCUGGGUUGUAAACUGCUUUUAUCUGGGAAGAAAAAGGCCAUGCGUGGCAAAUUGCCGGUACCAGAUGAAUAAGCACCGGCUAACUCCGUGCCAGCAGCCGCGGUAAUACGGAGGGUGCGAGCGUUGUCCGGAUUUACUGGGUUUAAAGGGUGCGUAGGCGGCUGAUUAAGUCAGCGGUGAAAGACUUCGGCUUAACCGGAGCAGUGCCGUUGAUACUGGUUGGCUUGAGUGUCGGAGGGGUACAUGGAAUUGAUGGUGUAGCGGUGAAAUGCAUAGAUACCAUCAGGAACACCGAUAGCGAAGGCAUUGUACUGGCCGACAACUGACGCUGAUGCACGAAAGUGUGGGGAUCGAACAGGAUUAGAAACCCCAGUAGUCC
rnacentral:rRNA from 1 species